rnacentral:rRNA from 1 species
AUUGAACGCUGGCGGCAGGCCUAACACAUGCAAGUCGAGCGAGCGGCGGACGGGUGAGUAAUGUCUGGGAAACUGCCUGCUGGAGGGGGAUAACUCCUGUAAACGGUAUCUAAUACCGCAUACCAUCAGAUGUGCCCAGAUGGGAUUAGCUAGUAGGUGGGGUAAUGGCUCACCUAGGGGACGAUCCCUAGCGGGUCUGAGAGGAGGACCAGCCACACUGGAACUGAGACACGGUCCAGACUCCUACGGGAGGCAGCAGUGGGGAAUAUUGCACAAUGGGCGCAAGCCUGAUGCAGCCAUGCCGCGUGUGUGAAGAAGGCCUUCGGGUUGUAAAGCACGUUCAGCGAGGAGGCGUUACCCGCAGAAGAAGCACCGGCUAACUCCGUGCCAGCAGCCGCGGUAAUUC